GUUCAGGUGUAUCCCUCAAUGACUGUCUGUUCUUCUGCUUACCGCUACAUUGUGGAACAUGGUGGAGAGAACAGAAUGAAUCCUGGGAUUAGAAAAUAUGUCUGUGAUCUCACACUGGACCUAAACACAGUAAACAGACACCUCUCUCUGUCUGAGGAGAACAGAAAGGUGACAUGGAGGAGAGAGAAGCAGGAGAGAGAAGCAGCCGUAUCCUGAUCACCCAGAGAGAUUUAAGGACUGGCAGCAGGUGCUGUGUAGAGAGGGUCUGACUGGGCGCUGUUACUGGGAGGUAGAGAGGAGUGGGAGAGGUGCUGUUAUAGGAGUGACAUAUAAAGGAAUCAGCAGGGGAGGAAGGGGUAGGGACAGUAGGCUUGGAUACAAUGACAAGUCCUGGAGUCUGUACUGCUGUGACAACCGUUACUAUGCCUGGCACAAUAAUAAUCUCACUACCAUAGAUGUCCCCUCCUCCGGCUCCCACAGAGUAGGAGUGUAUCUGGACUGGCCAGCCGGCACUCAGUCCUUCUAUAGAGCCUCCUCUGACACACUGACCCACCUGUUCACAUUCACCUCCACAUUCACUGAGCCCCUCUAUCCAGGGUUUUGGGUUUGGGGUGAUGGCGACUCAGUGUCCCUGAAAUAAUAAUAAUUGUCACACAGACACGCACACGCACACACACACACACACUGAACACACACACACACACACACUGGACACACACACACACGAGCUGGACACACACACACUGGACAAACACACACACACACACAAUUGGACACACACACAAAAUGGACAAAAACACAAACACACACACACACACACUGGACAAACACACAAACACACACACACACACACACACA